CGCACAUUGCGCCCGCUGGUAUUCUAGCGGGCAUGCCUGUCCGAGCGUCAUUUCAACCUUCAGGCUCUUUGCAGAGCCUGGUGAUGGGGAUCGGCCUGCUUCUAGGGGCCGGCUCCGAAAUAUAGUGGCGGUUAGGCUGCGGUACUCUCUGCGUAGUAGAUAAGCUCGCUCUGAGACGUGGCAUGGUCACGCCCGUACCUGCUUCGGCAUAUUGGUUGACCUCGGAUCAGGUAGGAAUACCCGCUGAACUUAA
rnacentral:misc_RNA from 1 species